AAUAAGCGGAGGAAAAGAAACUAACAAGGAUUCCCCUAGUAACGGCGAGUGAAGCGGGAAGAGCUCAAAUUUGAAAUCUGGUAGCCUUCGGUUGCCCGAGUUGUAAUCUAGAGAAGUGUUUUCCGUGCCGGCCCAUGUACAAGUCCCUUGGAACAGGGCGUCAUAGAGGGUGAGAAUCCCGUCCUUGACAUGGACCCCCGGUGCUUUGUGAUACACUUUCAACGAGUCGAGUUGUUUGGGAAUGCAGCUCAAAAUGGGUGGUGAAUUCCAUCUAAAGCUAAAUAUUGGCGAGAGACCGAUAGCGAACAAGUACCGUGAGGGAAAGAUGAAAAGCACUUUGGAAAGAGAGUUAAACAGUACGUGAAAUUGUUGAAAGGGAAACGAUUGAAGUCAGUCAUGCUCUUAGGAUUCAGCCGUUCUGCGGUGUAUUUCCUUUGAGUGGGGUCAACAUCAGUUUUGAUCGAUGGAUAAAGGCACGAGGAAGGUAGCACUCUCGGGUGAACUUAUAGCCUCGCGUCAUAUACAUUGAUUGGGACUGAGGAACGCAGCAUGCCUUUAUGGCCGGGAUUCGUCCACGUACAUGCUAGGAU
rnacentral:rRNA from 1 species